rnacentral:rRNA from 1 species
GGGUACUGAGACACGGACNCAGGCCCUAUGGGGCGCAGCAGGCGAGAAACCUUUGCAAUGUGCGAAAGCACGACAAGGUUAAUCCGAGUGUCUCCUGCUAAAGGAGUCUUUUGUCAGUUGUAGAAUCACUGGUGAAUAAGGGGUGGGCAAGUUCUGGUGUCAGCCGCCGCGGUAAAACCAGCACCUCGAGUGGUCAGGAGGUUUAUUGGGCCUAAAGCAUCCGUAGCCGGUUGCAUAAGUUUUCGGUUAAAUCUAUGCGCUUAACGUAUAGGCCGCCGAAAAUACUGUGCAGCUAGGGAGUGGGAGAGGUACACGGUACUCGAUAGGAAGGGGUAAAAUCCUUUGAUCUAUUGAAGACCACCUGUGGCGAAGGCGGUGUACCAGAACACGUUCGACGGUGAGGGAUGAAAGCUGGGGGAGCAAACCGGAUUAGAUACCCGGGUAGUCCCAGCUGUAAACGAUGCAGACUCGGUGAUGCAUUGGCUUGUGGCCAAUGCAGUGCCGCAGGGAAGCCGUUAAGUCUGCCGCCUGGGAAGUACGUACGCAAGUAUGAACUUAAGGAAUUGGCGGGGGAGCACCACAAGGGGUGAAGCUGCGGUUCAAUUGGAGUCACGCCG